GAUGAACGCUGGCGGCGUGCCUAAUACAUGCAAGUCGAGCGAACGGACGAGAAGCUUGCUUCUCUGAUGUUAGCGGCGGACGGGUGAGUAACACGUGGAUAACCUACCUAUAAGACUGGGAUAACUUCGGGAAACCGGAGCUAAUACCGGAUAAUAUUUUGAACCGCAUGGUUCAAAAGUGAAAGACGGUCUUGCUGUCACUUAUAGAUGGAUCCGCGCUGCAUUAGCUAGUUGGUAAGGUAACGGCUUACCAAGGCAACGAUGCAUAACUGACCUGAGAGGGUGAUCGGCCACACUGGAACUGAGACACGGUCCAGACUCCUACGGGAGGCAGCAGUAGGGAAUCUUCCGCAAUGGGCGAAAGCCUGACGGAGCAACGCCGCGUGAGUGAUGAAGGUCUUCGGAUCGUAAAACUCUGUUAUUAGGGAAGAACAUAUGUGUAAGUAACUGUGCACAUCUUGACGGUACCUAAUCAGAAAGCCACGGCUAACUACGUG
rnacentral:rRNA from 1 species